GAGUUGGCCGGACAGCCGCCGCCUGCAAGGGGGAGGAAAGUCCGGGCUCCGCAGAGCAGGGUGCCAGGUAACGCCUGGGAGACGUGAGUCUACGACCAGUGCAACAGAAAGUAUACCGCCGCAAGGUAAGGGUGAAAUGGUGAGGUAAGAGCUCACCGCACAGCUAGUAAUAGUCUGUGGCAGGGUAAACUCCACCCGGAGCAAGAUCAAAUAGGUUUCCGCAAAUGUUGCUCGCAUUGGAAACGGGUAGAUCGCUUGAGUCUGCAAGUGAUUGCAGAACUAGAUGAAUGGCUGUCGCCGCAAGGACACAGAACCCGGCUUAUAGGCUGACUCA
rnacentral:RNase_P_RNA from 1 species